CAGCAGCCGCGGGAAAACGAAGGGUGCAAGCGUUACUCGGAAUUACUGGGCGUAAAGCGUGCGUAGGUGGUGGUUUAAGUCCGUUGUGAAAGCCCUGGGCUCAACCUGGGAAUUGCAGUGGAUACUGGGUCACUAGAGUGUGGUAGAGGAUAGUGGAAUUUCCGGUGUAGCAGUGAAAUGCGUAGAGAUCGGAAGGAACAUCUGUGGCGAAGGCGACUAUCUGGGCCAACACUGACGCUGAGGUGCGAAAGCGUGGGGAGCAAACAGGAUUAGAUACCCCCGUAGUCCCUGUCUCUUAUAC
rnacentral:rRNA from 1 species